UGGGGAAUAUUGGACAAUGGGGGGAACCCUGAUCCAGCCAUGCCGCGUGUGUGAAGAAGGCCUUAUGGUUGUAAAGCACUUUAAGCGAGGAGGAGGCUCUCUUGGUUAAUACCCAAGAAGAGUGGACGUUACUCGCAGAAUAAGCACCGGCUAACUCUGUGCCAGCAGCCGUGGUAAUACAGAGGGUGCGAGCGUUAAUCGGAUUUACUGGGCGUAAAGCGUGCGUAGGCGGCUUUUUAAGUCGGAUGUGAAAUCCCCGAGCUUAACUUGGGAAUUGCAUUCGAUACUGGGAAGCUAGAGUAUGGGAGAGGAUGGUAGAAUUCCAGGUGUAGCGGUGAAAUGCGUAGAGAUCUGGAGGAAUACCGAUGGCGAAGGCAGCCAUCUGGCCUAAUACUGACGCUGAGGUACGAAAGCAUGGGGAGCAAACAGG
rnacentral:rRNA from 1 species